GGAUAGCGAUUGGAGACAAAGAAACCAAAGGCUUGGAUCACAGCACGGUUCUCUCUGAAUCUGGGCACAAGUGUUGUCUAGCUUCUCUCGGCAUCACUGCAUCACCUUGAGCCUGUGCUCAAUCCUGGGUCACAGAAGCCUGGAGGGCUCAGUGAUGCGGCUGCAAUUUCCUGAUUUGAAGAUCUUGGGUAACACUAACGAUGCUAUAAGAUAUUAACACUGCAAUCAAAACUUCAAAAGUCACCCUCGUCUGAUAUUUGGAGGCUCAUUCUCAGAUCACGCUGGAGAAUCUUCUAUGUCUGAUCCCUCCAUUAAGGCAUGUUGCUCCAGUCAGAUGAUGUCCCUUGCUGGAUCCACAGGGCGAAGGCUGGGGC